UACAGAGGCCACGAGCGUUAGGCGGAAUCACUGGGCUUAAAGCGUGUGUAGGUGGAUGGCUAAGUACCUUGUGAAAUCCCACGGCUCAACCGUGGAACUGCUGGGUAUACUGGUUGUCUUGAGCCAGCUAGGGGCGAGCGGAACAGACGGUGGAGCGGUGAAAUGCGUAGAUAUCGUCUGGAACGCCGAAGGUGAAAACAGCUCGCUGGGGCUGCGCUGACGCUGAGACACGAAAGCCAGGGGAGCGAACGGG
rnacentral:rRNA from 1 species